AUGGCCAUCUUCGAUGAGUUCUAUGUGGGCUCCAUUAACCUCGGCUGCCUUAACUACGGGAUCAUUUCGCUCAUCCCUAAGGUAGUUGGGGCCUUGGACAUCCGUCAAUUCUGGCCUAUCACUGUUAUCAACGUGAUCUUCCGGAUUCUGGCUAAAGGGUACGCCAAUAGGGUGACCCUACUCACUGACCGCAUUACCCACCCCAACCAGACCGCCUUCAUUCAGGAACGGUAUAUUUUGGAUGGGGUGUUAGUCUUCCAUGAAGUCCUCCAUGAGGUCCGGUCUAAACACCUCAAGGCGGUCUUCCUAAAGAUCGACUUCCAUAAUGCCUACGAUACUGUUAGUUGGCCCUUCCUUCGGGAAGUUCUG
rnacentral:rRNA from 1 species